rnacentral:rRNA from 1 species
AUGACACCCGGCUUGAGAGGCAUGCCUGCUGACCCUCGCGGAGGAGGAGGCCAAGUCGUUGUCGGCGGCGUUCGGCCGAUGAAGGCCGACCACGACCUCUUCGAGGUGCUCUGCUGGUCUCGGAGAACCGGCUCCUGGCUUUGCGCGAGGAGACCCACGCAGCGACACGCCCAAGGUUGGUUUUCUACGUGGUGGUCUACCCGGUCAACGAUGCUCUCAAGGUUCUUUUUCUCUUCUUUUAGUACUCAUUGUUUGGACGGUGUUGCAAAUAGAAUGGCUGAAAACCUGAAUUGUAGUAUACUGGGAUACUUACAUUUGUAUAUGGAAAGUGUUGCAGCUGUUGGCCUUGGUGGCGAUUUUGGUGGUCGUGCUGUUCUGUGUGGGAGUGUCCUGAUUUUGGUGUUUGUGUUGGUCGGGGGUGUCACAACCUGCUCGAGCAUAUCUUCAGUGAUCGUCACAGUUAUCUUCACUGGUUUGUUGAUUGGUUCAGCGGUUUUCUAUUAG